rnacentral:rRNA from 1 species
AACGUAGGAGACAAACGUUAUCCGGAGUUACUGGGAGUAAAGGGCGUGUAGGUGGUGCUGUAAGUUCGGCGUGAAAUUUUUCGGCUUAACCGGGAAAGGUCGUCGGAUACUGCAGGACUAGAGGACGGUAAAGGCGUGUGGAAUUCCGGGUGUAGUGGUGAAAUGCGUAGAGAUCCGGAGGAACACCAGUGGCGAAGGCGACACGCUGGGCCGUACCUGACACUGAGGCGCGAUAGCAUGGGGAGCAAACAGG